rnacentral:rRNA from 1 species
AUUGAACGCUGGCGGCAGGCCUAACAAAUGCAAGUCGAGCGGAGCGGCGGACGGGUGAGUAAUGCAUGGGAAUAUGCCUGGUAGUGGGGGAUAACGUCAGGAAACGGGCGCUAAUACCGCAUACUAGCAGAGGAGCCUAGGUCGGAUUAGCUAGUUGGUGGGGUAAAGGCCUACCAAGGCGACGACACGUAACUGGCCUGAGAGGAGGAUCAGUCACACGGCAACGUGUACCCGGUCCAGACUCCUACGGUAGUCAGCAUUGGGGAUUCUUGGACAAUGGGCGAAAGCCUGAUCCAGCCAGGCCGCGUGUGUUAAGAAGGUCUUCGGAUGGUAACGCACUUUAAGUUGGGAGGCGUUACCAACAGAAUAAGCACCGGCUAACUUCGUGCCAGCAGCCGCGGUAAUUC